UACGUAGGGCGCAAGCGUUGUCCGGAAUUAUUGGGCGUAAAGAGCUCGUAGGCGGCUUGUCACGUCGGGUGUGAAAGCCCGGGGCUUAACCCCGGGUCUGCAUUCGAUACGGGCAGGCUAGAGUGUGGUAGGGGAGAUCGGAAUUCCUGGUGUAGCGGUGAAAUGCGCAGAUAUCAGGAGGAACACCGGUGGCGAAGGCGGUCUCUGGGCCUUACCUGACACUGAGGAGCGAAAGCGUGGGGAGCGAACAGG
rnacentral:rRNA from 1 species